ACUUAAGAUAUCUGACAAACUUUCAAAAUUACUUGUAAAAAGAAUGCGACACAAACUGUAAAUUGAGGUAGUAAAGGCAAUCCCAUCUUUUUUUAUUUGACCUCUGCUAUUAAACUGGUGGCAAACAUUGUUAACAGUAAAGCACGUAGAUUCCCUGAGGGUCACCUCUGAGUCAUUUUCUGGUUCUAUUAUGCAAAUAAUACAUUCUGCUCAUUGUGGUUUCUAUUUGUGAUGUAUGCAAGCUGAAGAACAUCAGGGCUGAGUCAUCUGCUUAAGAGGGUCCCACUAUAAAUGUGAUGGAUUGUAACAUUUUGCAGAGUACAAAAGAGUAAAUAAAUAGAGAAGCCUUCGUUUGAUUUCUGAACUGAGGCCUCUUGAUUUAUAUCGUGAUGGUGGAGAUCCUACUGCAAAAGGAGAUCACACAGAGCUUUCUGCUUCAGCUGUGAUUAAAGGAAUGCAGGAAAGAAAAAAAUAAGUGAGCAUACUUUGUGUGCAGUGCAGCUGUGCCCAGUGCUGUUGGGGAAAUGAUUCUUCACUCUGCACUAUAGAGGCCAUACAUCAGCUAGGCAGCGCAUUGCACCCAGCUGACUGAGAGUGUCAGCUUCACACCACACUAGCCAGCGGCAGCCCACGACCUUCGAUUCUUUGCUAAUACUACUUGACAUCUUCCAG
rnacentral:lncRNA from 1 species